rnacentral:rRNA from 1 species
UACGUAGGGGGCAAGUGUUGUCCGGAUUUAUUGGGCGUAAAGAGCGUGUAGGCGGCCAGAUAGGUCGGUUGUGAAAACUGGAGGCUCAACCUCCAGACGUCGACCGAAACCCUCUGGCUAGAGUCCGGAAGAGGAGAAUGGAAUUCCUGGUGUAGCGGUGAAAUGCGCAGAUAUCAGGAAGAACACCCGUGGCGAAGGCGGUUCUCUGGGACGGUACUGACGCUGAGACGCGAAAGCGUGGGGAGCGAACAGG